UAUAUUUUAGUAUAUGAUGUACAAAAGUUUUUGAAACUUUAGGUGGUAAUUUAAUUUACCAAUUAUAU
rnacentral:tRNA from 1 species